ACGUCUCAUUCGAAUAGAAGCCACCAUUUCAGACACCGCUUUCGUAUUGCCUCAGCGAGUAAUAAUCAUGAACAGUUUGGAUUCCUCAUUUUGUUACGCUGUUCAUUACUAUUUCAUCGGCUGUAGUAUGACCGAACAUUGGGACUUGUACCAAACAGAUCCCAUAACACGGUGUAAAGACGUGACUGGUGAGAUCGCAACAGGGCAUCGCAUAGCAGAACCCCUGGAUAGUGACAACAUUCAGAACCCAGUUAUUCAAGAUAAGAUAAUACAAGCUGCCCUGAAAAAGUCCCGCAGUGAAGCAAAUAGCCAUCAUGGUAAGAGCACCUAACCAAUAAGAUGGACUGACUUGUACUGUAUAGCUACAUGGUGGUUAUGUCUACCCACUACCCUCACCGGGAUGCAUUCAUGAAUCACGUGCCACAGCGACAGUAUCAUAUUGGCGUCUACCAUUUGAUUAGAUAUUAUUUCAGUUUGCAAGCUAUAACGUGUGUAGAUUUGGAUUGAAACAAUAUGGACGUGUUAUCACGUGAUGUCAAAUACAAAGACCUGUUAAAAGAUUAUCUACUGUGUCUUCAGUACAAUUAUUAAGAUGACGUCAUAAGUCCAGUCGAUUCGCCCAUUUAUUGGUCUAUGACCUAGUACAUGAAUUAUUAUAAAGAUAAUGUGCAUCUAUACUAUUAAAGCAUGGCGAUAUU